rnacentral:tRNA from 2 species
UCCUCGGUAGCUCAGUGGUAGAGCAGGUGACUGUUAAUCACUUGGUCGCUGGUUCGAAUCCGGCCCGGGGAGCCA